rnacentral:rRNA from 1 species
AGAGUUUGAUCCUGGCUCAGAUUGAACGCUGGCGGCAUGCCUUACACAUGCAAGUCGAACGGCAGCACGGACUUCGGUCUGGUGGCGAGUGGCGAACGGGUGAGUAAUAUAUCGGAACAUACCCUAGAGUGGGGGAUAACGUAGCGAAAGUUACGCUAAUACCGCAUACGCACUAAGGUGGAAAGUGGGGGAUCGCAAGACCUCAUGCUCAUGGAGUGGCCGAUAUCUGAUUAGCUAGUUGGUGAGGUAAAGGCUCACCAAGGCGACGAUCAGUAGCUGGUUUGAGAGAACGACCAGCCACACUGGAACUGAGACACGGUCCAGACUCCUACGGGAGGCAGCAGUGGGGAAUUUUGGACAAUGGGCGCAAGCCUGAUCCAGCAAUGCCGCGUGAGUGAAGAAGGCCUUCGGGUUGUAAAGCUCUUUUGUCAGGGAAGAAACGGUUGUUCCUAAUACGGACGGCUAAUGACGGUACCUGAAGAAUAAGCACCGGCUAACUACGUGCCAGCAGCCGCGGUAAUACGUAGGGUGCAAGCGUUAAUCGGAAUUACUGGGCGUAAAGCGUGCGCAGGCGGUUAUAUAAGUCAGAUGUGAAAUCCCCGGGCUCAACCUGGGAACUGCAUUUGAGACUGUAUGGCUAGAGUGUGUCAG